rnacentral:rRNA from 1 species
UACGGGGGGGGCAAGCGUUGUUCGGAAUUACUGGGCGUAAAGGGCGCGUAGGCGGUUCGCUAAGUUGGAUGUGAAAACUCUGGGCUCAACCCAGAGCCUGCAUCCAAAACUGGCGGGCUAGAGUUCUGGAGGGGGUAGCGGAAUUCCUGGUGUAGCGGUGAAAUGACGUAGAUAUCAGGAGGAACACCGGUGGCGAAGGCGGCUACCUGGACAGAAACUGACGCUGAGGCGCGAAAGCUAGGGGAGCAAACAGG